rnacentral:rRNA from 1 species
CAGGCCUAACACAUGCAAGUCGAGGGGCAGCAUUUCUAGCUUGCUAGAAGAUGGCGACCGGCGCACGGGUGAGUAACGCGUAUGUAACCUACCUUAUACUGGGGGAUAGCCCAGAGAAAUCUGGAUUAAUACCGCAUAAUAUGUUUGAAUCGCAUGGUUUAAAUAUUAAAACUCCGGUGGUACAAGAUGGGCAUGCGUAGCAUUAGUUAGUUGGUGAGGUAACGGCUCACCAAGACAAUGAUGCUUAGGGGGUCUGAGAGGAUAGUCCCCCACACUGGUACUGAGACACGGACCAGACUCCUACGGGAGGCAGCAGUGAGGAAUAUUGGUCAAUGGACGCAAGUCUGAACCAGCCAUGUCGCGUGCAGGAUGACGGCCCUAUGGGUUGUAAACUGCUUUUUUACAGGAAUAAUUGUCGCUACGUGUAGUGAUUUGAAUGUACUGUAUGAAUAAGGAUCGGCUAACUCCGUGCCAGCAGCCGCGGUAAUACGGAGGAUUCGAGCGUUAUCCGGAUUUAUUGGGUUUAAAGGGUCCGUAGGCGGUCUUUUAAGUCAGUGGUGAAGUCCCAGAGCUCAACUCUGGAACUGCCAUUGAAACUGAAGGACUUGAAUAUGGUUGAGGUAGGCGGAAUACGUUAUGUAGCGGUGAAAUGCAUAGAUAUAACGUAGAACACCAAUUGCGAAGGCAGCUUACUAAGCCAUUAUUGACGCUGAUGGACGAAAGCGUGGGGAGCGAACAGGAUUAGAUACCCUGGUAGUCCACGCCGUAAACGAUGAUUACCCCUUGUGCACAAUACAUCGUGCGUGACUGAGCGAAAGCAUUAAGUAAUCCACCUGGGGAGUACGUUCGCAAGAAUGAAACUCAAAGGAAUUGACGGGGGCCCGCACAAGCGGAGGAACAUGUGGUUUAAUUCGAUGAUACGCGAGGAACCUUACCUGGACUUAAAUGUAGAUUGACCCUCUUAGAAAUAGGAGUUCUCUUCGGAGCAAUUUACAAGGUGCUGCAUGGUUGUCGUCAGCUCGUGCCGUGAGGUGUCGGGUUAAGUCCCAUAACGAGCGCAACCCCUAUCGUUAGUUGCUAGCAGGUAAUGCUGAGGACUCUAGCGAGACUGCCACCGUAAGGUGAGAGGAAGGUGGGGAUGACGUCAAAUCAGCACGGCCCUUACGUCCAGGACUACACACGUGUUACAAUGGCCAGUACAAAGGGCAGCUACCUGGUGACAGGAUGCUAAUCUCAAAAGCUGGUCUCAGUUCGGAUCGGAGUCUGCAACUCGACUCCGUGAAGUUGGAUUCGCUAGUAAUCGUAUAUCAGCAAUGAUACGGUGAAUACGUUCCCGGGCCUUGUACACACCGCCC